UGCCUUCGGGGCGCGGAUGAGUAGCCCCGUGCUUUGGGACUGUUCCGAAACUUCGUAGUCCCUCCCGGGCCCGCUCUCCACGACGCUUGGGCCUGCGCACGCGAGGUGCCACGGAUCCGGAGCAGACGUCGCGGGUGAGCGCGCGACCUCGGCUGGAAGCGGCCGCACGGCUCGUGAGUUUAUCAUCAGCUACCGCUGCGAGCCCACCCGGAACGGCGGAGUCCUGGAAGACUGUCCUUUGGCCAUGUCACAGAAUGGACACCUUGACGACCCCAGUGAGUACUUCUCAGCUGCAACUCAGGGAUACUUGAAGAAUGAGGUGGAUGAUACCCUUGAAGUCCGGGAAGACAGCCUGGGGGAUGAGGCCUUCGACACCGUCAACUCCUCCAUUGUGUCUGGCGAGAGCAUCCGGUUUUUUGUCAACGUCAACCUUGAUGUACAGCCCUCCAAAUCUGACAUUGAAGCAGCAACCGGUGGCUGUGUGCUCCUCCACACCUCCCGCAAGUAUCUGAAGUUAAAGAACUUCGAGGAAGAGGUCCGUGCGCACCGGGACCUAGACGGCUUCCUGGCCCAGGCCAGCAUCAUCCUGAACGAGACAGCUACCUCGCUGGAUGACGUGCUUCGGACUAUGCUGAGCCGCUUCGCCCAGGACCCCAACCAUGCAGAACCCGACUGUGACCUGGACCUGCUCAUGGACAAGCUCUUUACAGAUGCUGGGGCCCCCACGGAGAGCAAAGUCCACCUGCUCUCGGAUACCAUCCAGGGAGUCACCGCCACAGUCCGAGGGGUGCAGUACCAGCAGUCAUGGCUCUGCAUCGUCUGUACCUUGAAGGCCCUACAGAAGCGGCACGUGUGCAUCAGCCGCCUGGUCCGACCCCAGAACUGGGGGGAGAACUCCUGCGAGGUCCGCUUUGUCAUCCUGGUGCUGGCCCCGCCCAAGAUGAAAAGCACCAAGACUGCGAUGGAGGUGGCACGCACAUUUGCCACCAUGUUCUCAGACAUCACCUUCCGCCAGAAGCUCCUGACGACACGCACGGAAGAGGAAUUCAAGGAGGAGUUGGUGCAUCAGAGACAGCUGCUCACCAUGACGAUGCCAAGAGCAACGGGACACAGCAUGAGCUCCCUCCACACUCACAAACACCCUCAGCCUCCGAAGUGCAAGGACUUCUUCCCUUUUGGAAAGGGCAUCUGGGCGGACAUCACGCACCGGUUCCCUGUGUACCCGCUGGACUUCACCGAUGGCAUCAUCGGGAAAGGCAAGACUGUGGGCAAAUAUGUCACCACCACGCUCUUCCUCUACUUCGCCUGCCUCCUGCCGACGAUUGCUUUCGGAUCCCUCAAUGAUGAGAACACGAACGGGGCCAUCGAUGUGCAGAAGACCAUAGCUGGGCAGAGCAUCGGAGGCCUCUUGUAUGCACUCUUCUCUGGGCAGCCGCUGGUGAUCCUGCUGACGACCGCACCCCUGGCCAUCUACAUCCAGGUGAUCCGAGUCAUCUGUGACGACUACAACCUUGACUUCAAUGCCUUCUAUGCAUGGACGGGCCUGUGGAACAGUUUCUUCCUCGCGCUGUACGCCUUCCUCAACCUCAGCCUGCUUAUGAGUCUCUUUAAGAGGUCAACAGAAGAAAUCAUUGCCUUCUUCAUUUCCAUCACGUUUGUUCUGGAUGCUGUCAAGGGCAUGGCCAAAAUCUUCUGGAAGUACUACCAUGGUCACCACUACCACACAAAAAAGACUUCAUCCUUGGCCAGCUUGUUGAGCGUUGGCAGAAGCCCCAACACCAGCCUUCACUCUGGGCUCAACACCAGCCUCCUGCCCAGCCCCGUUGAGAUGGCCACAGCUAGCAGCCCCAGCAGCACACACUCGGGCCAGGCUACGGCCGUGCUCAGUCUCCUUAUCAUGCUGGGCACACUCUGGCUGGGCUACACCCUCUACCAGUUCAAGAAAAGCCCCUACCUGCACCCAUGGGUCCGUGAGACCCUGUCUGACUGUGCCCUGCCCAUCGCGGUGCUCUCCUUCUCCCUCAUCGGCUCCUAUGGCUUCCAGGAAAUUGAGAUGAGCAAGUUCAGAUACAACCCCAGCGAGAGCCUCUUUGAGAUGGCACAGAUCCGCUCUCUGUCCUUCAAGGCCAUUGGCAGCACCAUGGGUCUUGGUUUCCUGCUCUCCUUGCUUUUCUUCAUUGAGCAGAACCUGGUGGCUGCCCUGGUCAAUGCUCCAGAGAACAGGCUGGUGAAGGGCACUGCCUAUCACUGGGACCUCCUGCUCCUGGCCAUCAUCAAUACGGGGCUGUCUCUAUUCGGGCUACCCUGGAUCCACGCCGCCUACCCCCACUCCCCGCUGCAUGUGCGGGCACUGGCCUUAGUGGAGGAACGUGUGGAGAACGGGCACAUUUAUGAAACGAUUGUGAAUGUUAAGGAGACCCGGCUGACUGCGCUGGGCGCCAGUGUCCUGGUAGGGCUCUCUCUCCUGCUGCUGCCCUUCCCACUGCAGUGGAUCCCCAAGCCCGUGCUUUAUGGGCUCUUCCUCUACAUCGCGCUCACCUCCCUGGAUGGCAACCAGCUCUUCUCGCGAGUGGCCCUGCUGCUCAAGGAGCAGGUUGCCGCUGCCCACAGACAUCCUACCCACCCACCCACUACGUCCGGAGAGUGCCCCAGAGGAAGAUCCACUACUUCACAGGCCUGCAGAUCCUGCAGCUGCUGCUGCUCUGUGCCUUUGGCAUGAGCUCCCUGUCCUACAUGAAGAUGGUCUUUCCUGUCAUCAUGAUUGCCAUGAUUCCCAUCCGGUACAAUCUCUUACCCCGAAUCAUUGAAGCGAAGUAUUUGGAUGUCAUGGAUGCUGAGCACAGACCCUGAUGUGUGCCACCUUCCCCCAUGCCUUCAGGCCUGUUCUGUGACAUUGUAAGGGGAGGUGUGAGCUGGCUCAGACCCAGCCCCAUUGCCGCUUAAAGUCCCCGGGGCAUUGUGGUUUUCAGUGGUGUGUGCUCACCGCUCACCCCAUUAACCUUUAGUUUGGGGUCCAGGGACAUUGCCAGCACGGGGCUAAGAAGUGUAGAUUUUCUUUUGAUAAAAGAGUUGAUGCCCAGGAGCGAGCCCAUUUCCUUGAUUGUGUAAGGAAUUCACUGUGCACCAUUAGCGAAUAAAAGUCUU